rnacentral:lncRNA from 1 species
AGGACACAAUUUAUGAGAAUAUCUGAGAGGGAUUUACUUUUAAGUUCCCACAAAAAGAAGUUCAGUUGCUUUCAAGAAAAAAGAUAAUGGCAAAAGUGACCUUCCAAAGCCUCUCUCCUCACUGAUCUCACGCUAUGCUGGCACAGCGGGAGCUGAGCUCACCUCUCCACACAACUUCUGAUCCAGAAUCCUUCGUCACCGUGCAUAAGCUCCAAGUGGGAUGAAAGAUAGACCAAUAGAGAAAUGAGGGCACUGUACUGGUACAAGAAAUGUCUCUGGAGUCAUAAAUACAGUUAAGGAAACAGCUUCCACUCUGAAU